rnacentral:rRNA from 1 species
AUGGCUCAGGAUGAACGCUGGCGGCGUGCUUAACACAUGCAAGUCGAACGGAACAUUUCGCCCGAUGAUUGAGGUAGCUUGCUUCCUCCUGAUUCAACUGAAAUGUUAGUGGCGGACGGGUGAGUAACGCGUGGGUAACCUACCUUACACAGGGGGAUAACAGUUAGAAAUGACUGCUAAUACCGCAUAAGCGCACAGUACCGCAUGGUACAGUGUGAAAAACUCCGGUGGUGUAAGAUGGACCCGCGUCUGAUUAGCUAGUUGGUGAGGUAACGGCCCACCAAGGCGACGAUCAGUAGCCGGCCUGAGAGGGUGAACGGCCACAUUGGAACUGAGACACGGUCCAAACUCCUACGGGAGGCAGCAGUGGGGAAUAUUGCACAAUGGGGGCAACCCUGACGGACCAGCAACGCCGCGUGAAGGAUGAAGGUUUUCGGAUUGUAAACUUCUUUUAUCAGGGACGAAAUCUGACGGUACCUGAUGAAUAAGCUCCGGCUAACUACGUGCCAGCAGCGGC